rnacentral:lncRNA from 10 species
GCAGAUAAGAGAAGAAACGCAGGCUGCGCGAGGUAGUAGUGGUAAUCAGUGGGGUAUGUUUCUAGGGUGUGCAAGGCUUUGGUCUUUCGCUCUUUGCAGUAAGUGUUGUUGCUGCUUUCUGUUUGGGUUCAUGCUGCUUUUAUGAGAUGUAACACCGUGAAGGUGUGCAGCUUCAUUCCUGAAGCCAGUGAGACCACAAACCCAUCGGGAGAAACGAGCAACUCCAGACAUGCCGCCUAAAGAGCUGUAACACUCACCGCGAAGGUCUGCAGCUUCCCUCCUGAUGUAACAAGAUCACGAACCCACCAGAAGGAAGAAACUCCGAACACAUCCGAAUAUCAGAGGGGACAAACUCUGAACACGCCGCCUUUAAGAACUGUAACAACGGGAGGGUCCGUGGCUUCAUUGUUGAAGUCAGACCAAGAACCCACCAAUUCCGGACACAGAAGCACACAUUUACAAACAACAAACAUGUUCAUUAUAAAUUGUAACAUCUAUACCUGUGCGUGAUGAAGCAACUACAGGAAAACCUCCGAUUAGUAACCAAGGUUUGCUCACUCCAGCAACUUGAAAUUGAGCAUUUUAUAGCAGCAGGUGACUUCAGAGACUGGCCAAGCAAAAACCUCAUCUAAUAGGGGCUAAAGAAGGGAAGGGAGAAGGAAGGGUAUUGGAAAGUCCACACCUGACUGGAUGUUUUCAGCUCUCAGGGUCUGGAAGAUAUUUGAAGAUGACUA